CUGUCCUCCUCUUCACUCUCAAUGCCUUGCAAUUACUCAAACUCUGAGUUAGUCAUAUUCAGGUUAGAUUUGUAAUGACGUGGUGGGGAAAAUUGUCCAAUUUCAGCCUGCCUAACCACCAGGGUCGGUGAAUAUCACCUGCAUACCUUCUGGUGUGUGCACAAAUACAGAAACGUUCAUCAACAGAGUCACAGCCCGACGUACGAUGCCGUAUGGUCGAUAAAUAGAACGGCCGUACAUCCAUCUUUCCGUUUCUUCUUUUUCACCUCUUGAAUCUUGGAGAUCUACAUCACAGCUAUUGGUUUUGAUCGGCGCUAACCUGACUUCCAAAGCUGGUGAUAGCCCUGUUUCGUCUGUUCUACCUCGAUCCAGCCCAAGCACAAAGCAGACUGCGAUACACCUCCCUCCAGGCGAAGUUUCCACCAGCUGAGUCAAAACAAGUGCGGUUUCAGCUGCAACGUGGAUUUGAUGAAGCCGAACAGUAAAACCUCAUCUACUUUACACCACAUGUCCACCGACCGUUCCUUACUCAUCAGCUAAUCGCUUACAUCCCAGAUUCCAGCGCAGAAUCCGUCACGGAAUCACAAAAAAACAGGAAAAAAUAAACCCCCAGAGAAAACACCAAAUCUUUCAGAGCAGCGAUCUCUCUCUCAGGGUACAAGACUCAAAUUCAUUUAUUAAUAUGAAUAAGACAAUAUAAAAUAAAAAUUAAUCAGAAACAAGCAAUAAUUAAUUAAUUGAUUGAUUGAUUAAUAAUAAUAAUAAUAAUUGGCACCCUGUCCAGGGUGUACCCCGCCUUGUGCCCGAUGCUCCCUGGGAUAGACUCCAGGUUCCCCGUGACCCUGAAAAGGAUAAGCGCUAUAGAAGAUGGAUGGAUGGAUAACACAAUAUAAAAUAAAAAUUAAUCAGAAACAAGCAGAAGCUACUUUACAUAAAAGCAGAUAUAUAAUAUCUGGAAAAGGAGAAGUAUCUUGAAAUAAAACAGUCCAUUUAAAUUUUUUUUAGAAGAAAUAAAGCUACUUUAUAUGUUUUGGGGAAAAAACAUUCAAAAAAGAUAUUAAAUAAAUCAAGGAUUUUAGAACUUUAAGUAACUUUAAUAAAAGCAGGCAACUUUGGAAAGAAGAAUUUCAAGACUAUAUUAAAAAAUCUAGGGUUAGGGAGAAAUAAAUCAGGUUUAAUUCACUGACACAGCUUUACAUAAAAUCAGAAAAUAAAUAACGGCAAAUAAAUAAAGGUGGGAGUAAGUUUAGAUAAAAGUUUGAAAAUGUUUUUUUUAAGUAAUAAAAGUCUCUCUCUCUCUUUCUCUUAAACAACUUAUAAUAAAAAAGAACCCAAAUAAAUAAGGGAAUUAAGAAGGGAGAAGGGAGAACUUUAAAAAAGCAAGGAACUGAAUUUAAAAAGUAAUUUCUUUAUUUUUUUCAGUUUUUAAAAAAAAAAUUUUUUAAAAGUUUUUAAAGUAAAAGUAGUCGACUUUUGAAAACUUUAAAUAAGGCAACUAAAAAAAAAAAAGAUAACUGCCUUGACCCUUUCCAGGACGAACGAUUAUUGUCCAAUCAAAACCAUCCAAUCAAAUUAUUCAACUUGUCUAAAAUAAUAAAAGUUAUUUAUUUAUCCAUCCAUCCAUCCAUCUUCUAUACCACUUUAUCCUUUUCAGGGUCACGGGGGAACCUGGAGCCUAUCCCAGGGAGCAUGGGGCACAAGGCAGGGUACACCCUGGACAGGGUGCCAAUCCAUCACAGGGCACAAUCACAUACACUCACACACCCAUUCAUACACUACGGACACUUUGGACACGCCAAUCAGCCUACCAUGCAUGUCUUUGGACUGGAGGAGGAAACCGGAGUACCCGGAGGAAACCCCCGCAGCACGGGGAGAACAUGCAAACUCCACACAGACAGGGCCACGGUGGGAAUCAAACCCCCGACCCUGGUGGUGUGAGGCGAAUGUGAUAACCACUAAGCCACUGUGCGCCCUUUAUUAUUUAUUUUUACUUAAUGAAAUCAUGAUGGAUUCCUUGCUUUCGCUUCUUCGGCACGAAAUCGGGAGGAAACGCCAGCAAAGCGCUAAACCUUACACGAGGAGGAAAUCCUGCACGCUGCAACUAACAGUGAUGAAUCGUAAACGACCGUGCACACUGCAGCCGCAACACCACAACCCUCUACUUCCUGUUUUACAAGAUCCUCAUUUCUCAAAUACACCGGCUGGAGUGGUAAUGUCGCUGAAGGCGUUCGCUGACCCGGCUCUUUUUGUAAAGAAAGAAAAUGACAAAAUCACAAUGGUUUUUAUUUUCUCUUUUAUUUAAAAUAAAUAGCCACAUAAAUAAAACAACUCUCUCUCUCUCUCUCUCACACACACACACACUUUCACACAUUCAAGACAUUUACAGUUCAGCAAGCAAAUCAGGGGGGAAAAUAUCCAAAAACAAGCUCUCUUUACAGUUCUACAUCAAAUAAAAUCAAAUGAUAAAAUAGUGUUUAAUAUUAUUGUAAAGGCAUUAACACUAAAGAAGUCUUCUCUAGCCCAGCACUGGAAACAACACUAUUUUCAGAAGGAGAAAUAUGUAUUAUAAAGUGCAUUAUCGUGAAAAAUAGAGGGGGGGGGGGGGGGGGGGGG